UACGGGGGGGGGCAAGCGUUGUUCGGAAUUACUGGGCGUAAAGGGCUCGUAGGUGGCCAACUAAGUCAGACGUGAAAUCCCUCAGCUUAACUGGGGGAACUGCGUCUGAUACUGGAUGGCUUGAGUUUGGGAGAGGGAUGCGGAAUUCCAGGUGUAGCGGUGAAAUGCGUAGAUAUCUGGAGGAACACCGGUGGCGAAGGCGGCAUCCUGGACCAACACUGACACUGAGGAGCGAAAGCCAGGGGAGCGAACGGG
rnacentral:rRNA from 1 species